rnacentral:rRNA from 1 species
CUACGGGUGCUCCAGUGGGGAAUAUUGCACAAUGGGGGAAACCCUGAUGCAGCAACGCCGCGUGGAGGAUGACGCAUUUCGGUGUGUAAACUCCUUUUAUAUAGGAAGAUAAUGACGGUACUAUAUGAAUAAGCACCGGCUAACUCCGUGCCAGCAGCCGCGGUAAUACGGAGGGUGCAAGCGUUACUCGGAAUCACUGGGCGUAAAGCGCGCGCAGGCGGCCCCUUAAGUUGGAUGUGAAAGCCUACGGCUUAACCGUAGAACUGCAUCCAAAACUGAGGGGCUAGAGUCUGGGAGGGGAAGAUGGAAUUAGUUGUGUAGGGGUAAAAUCCGUAGAGAUAACUAGGAAUACCAAAAGCGAAGGCGAUCUUCUGGAACAGUACUGACGCUGAGGCGCGAAAGCGUGGGGAGCAAACAGGAUUAGAUACCCUCGUAGUC